rnacentral:tRNA from 1 species
GAGAGAUGGCCGAGUGGUCGAAGGCGGCGGUUUGCUAAACCGUUAAACGGUUAACACCGUUUCGAGGGUUCGAAUCCCUCUCUCUCC